UACGGAGGGUGCGAGCGUUGCCCGGAAUCACUGGGCGUAAAGGGCGCGUAGGCGGCCUGAUAAGUAGGGGGUGAAAUCCUGAGGCUUAACCUCAGGGCUGCCUUCUAAACUGUCAGGCUCGAGCACAGUAGAGGCAGGUGGAAUUCCCGGUGUAGCGGUGGAAUGCGUAGAGAUCGGGAAGAACAUCAGUGGCGAAGGCGGCCUGCUGGGCUGUUGCUGACGCUGAGACGCGAAAGCGUGGGUAGCAAACAGG
rnacentral:rRNA from 1 species